UUUUCAAAGUGUUCAAUACCAAUGUCAUGGGAAACAAACAAUUGAAACAUAUAUCAUCCUCUUCACUGCCCAAGGAAACAAAUCAGAAGCACUAAGCCCCAAAGGUUUCCCCCAAACUGUUUUUAUUCCAACAAUCAAAUCUUCAGAAACUAUGAAUCUCUCCAUAAAAAGUUUUGGCUUUCUCUCAAUCUCUCAAGAAACAGGUGAAUCGCCCUCAAUCUUUUUCUCAAUCCUUUUCGUUGAACUUGAAAUCUCUGAACCAAAUCUUUCUCUCAAUUUGGCGCUUACUCAGUGGUUGAACUCGAAUCUCUGAUGGUUUUAUGCAUGCUGCAACAUGAAUAUUAGGAUAGGUCUCAUGCUUCCAAGAACAUGGGACUGAAGUUGAAAAAGCCAUAGAGCAAUUAGGAAAAUCAAGGUAGUCUCACUUUUAAAUCAGAUUUUGAUUUCACCAUCUAUGAAUUAUUUUGUGCAUUUCUCUAUAGAAUAUUUAUCUAUGUUUUCUUGAACUAUGUUUGCUAAUAGUAAACUUAAUGAAUGGUUUCUCUAUAGAAUAUUUUGAAUUUUAUUUACUGAUAGCAACUUCAGUGUUAUAUGUUAAGGUUCAAUUAUUUAGUAUAGUUAGUUAGGAGAAAAAAAAGUGAAUAAUUAGAUAACAUGAUUACUAACAUAUUGGUAAACCAUUCAUGAUUUUAACGCUGAAGCUGUGAUGAUUGUCAUAUUUCAUUGUUGUUUGUAUCAGCUAAUAUUUAACUUCUUUAAAACUGAUGCUUAUACUUAUCUUUGUGUCAGCAGGACCUUAAUCAAUGUAAAGUGAAAGACAAGGUAGAAAUGAAAAAUAAUAAGUAUAUAGAUCCUUUCCUCAAUGUACAUUAUUUUUAUAUGGGCAAGUUGAAGGCAAGUAGCUUCUGCCUGGGCAAGGAAGGUGUUGGGUUAAAAAUUUGACGUGAUGCUCUAUGCUCUCUCUGUUUAAAGAAAAUUACUACAUCAAAUAUAUGUUUUUAUAAUGCAUUUGUAAUGAUAAGCUACAAAUUUAGUUGGAUAUGAUGAUUUUCAAAUUUAGUAGUUAAUGCAGA
rnacentral:lncRNA from 1 species